GGAACGGCAGGGAUGGCAGAGGAAGCAAGCUGAGAAGCCUUGUGGAGAAAAGGUGCCCAAGAUGGCCAGAAGAGAUCACUGGAUCCCCUGGAACUGGAGUUACAGAAAAUUGUGAGCCAUCUGACAUUGGUGCUGAGAACCAAAUUCAGGAUUCUGGCAUCUACUUGAGACCAGCUAAGACAUCCAGAUUCACAGACUGAACAACCCCUGGAUUCUUGGACCUUCCAUUGAUGGACAGCCAUUGUUGGGCUAGCUGGACCAUAGCCUGCAGAACAUGGCAGCGUGCAAGCCGACAUGGGGCUGGAGAAGGAGCUCAGAGUCCUACAUCUGAAGGCAACAGGAUGUGAACGGAGACGCUGGGCAUUGUGUGAGCAUAUUUCGGACCUCAAAGCCCACCCCCACAGUGUCACACUUCCUCCAACAAGGCCACACCUAUACCAACAAAGCCUUGACUCCUGAUAGUGCUACUCCCUAUGCCACAGUGAUAUUCUCAUAUUUCAUCGUAUGCAUGUAUGAAAAUCUCAACGGAUA
rnacentral:lncRNA from 1 species